rnacentral:lncRNA from 1 species
GAACUCAGGGGCACUUACCACUGAGCCACAUCCCCAUCCCCAGCCCUCCUUUUUUUUGAGACAGGGUCUGGCUAAGUUACUGAGGCUGUCCUCGAACUUGCAAUCUAGGAUUACAGGCGUGCACCACUGUGCUGAGUCAGGAUUCUUCUUACUAUCAAAAUACUAAACUUGUACUUGUUUCCUGAAAUGCUUAUCUACAUUUGAUGCCAUCAAUCUUUUGAAAUUUUGCUGAUCUGAUUAGGGGGAAAAAAUCCCAUUGUUUAAUUUUUAUUGAAGAAGCAGCACAGCCUAGUGGCUGAGUGCAGGUCCUACGGAGGUUUUUGUUACUUUAGAGAAGGUUAUUCCAGUUUUACAAUGAGAAUAAUAUUUCUUCCCCAUAAAAUCGUGAGGAUAAAAUAUUGGGCACAUUUAUGCACUCAUAAAUACUCACAAAUAUUAUGUUGUAUUUUCACCAUUCCAGCAUUCCUGUUCUCCCUUAUCCGGAUUUUCACUUUCCAUACUUAUCCAUGAUCAAACUAUAGUCUGAAAGUAUUAAAUGUAAAGUUCUGGAAUAAGCAAUACAUAAUUUUUUAAACUGCACACUAUUCUGAGUAGCGUGAUGAAAUCUUGUGCUGUCAUGAAUCAUCUCUUUGUCCAGGGAAUCCAAGCAGUAUGCACUACCCAGUUGUGUUUCAGCGAUCAGAUUCAUGUGGGCUAUUGCUGAGAGCCACUGCGGAAUCUGUAUGGCCCCUGGCAUUUUGCCAACAGUAUUGAUUGACAGGCGAGUCAUUACUAUCCGCCUCUGCCGCAACUUUUGAGUUCUCGCACUAUUUUGGAGUUCUCAUGGGGAUUUCCGGGGAUUCCCCGAGAGUUCCCAUUGGUUGGGGAAGUGCAGGAGGAGGGAUUUCCGGGAGAGAUAUUUCCGGCUGGGGGUUCCUGGACAAGCCUCGUGGGGUUCGGGAGGUUUCCCCGGGAGCUGUGUGAAGUGUUUU